rnacentral:rRNA from 1 species
AUUGAACGCUGGCGGCAGGCUUAACACAUGCAAGUCGAGCGAGCGGCGGACGGGUGAGUAAUGUCUGGGAAACUUCCUGAUGGCGGGGUAUAACUACUGGAAACGGUAGCUACUACCGCAUACCCUCAGAUUUGCCCAGAUGGGAUUCGCUAGUAGGUGGGGUAAUGGCUCACCUAGGCGACGAUCCCUAGCUGGUCUGAGAGGAUGACCAGCCACACUGGAACGGAGACACGGUCCAGACUCCUACGGGAGGCAGCAGUGGGGAAUAGUGCACAAUGGGCGCAAGCCUGAUGAAGCCAUGCAGCGUGUGUGAAGAAGGCCUUCGGGUUGUAAAGCACUUUCAGCGAGGAGGCGUUACUAGCAGAAGAAGCACCGGCUAACUCCGUGCCAGCAGCCGCGGUAAUUC